rnacentral:lncRNA from 1 species
UCAUCUCAGCGUUGGUAGGAGGCACCUUCCACUUGGAUUCUCUUCAUGUGGUUAAGAGAGUCCUGAGUUCCAAUCCUAAGUUCACUCGUCUCUACCUCCUUGCCUUUGUGCAGGUUACUUAACUUUUCUGACCAUCAGUCUUCUCUGUUGUAACAUAGGGAUGGUAACACCCAUUUCUUAUGCAUGCAGUGAUGCUUAAUGACAUAAUGUAGGUGGGGUUCAUGCACAAGGCCUGGUAUAUGAUGAGUGCUGGUAAAUCUUAGCUCCCAAUGACACUGUAUCAGGCUCUGUGCUAGGGUGCUUUACGAAAAUGAUCUCAUGUAAUCCUCACAACACAUCAGGAUAUUGGUACUCUUCAUUUUACAGAUGGGGAAACUGAGGCUCUGUGGGAUUAAGGGACUCACCCAAGGUCAUAAAGCCAGAUUGUGACAUUGAGAUUCAAAUCUUGGCAACCUUACUUUCUGGAAACACUUUCCCCCUUCCUCUUCUUUAGACCCACAUGCAGGCUGCUUGCAGACUCUGUGCUUGGCCAUGUUUCUUGGUCAGCAGGGCAGUCGGGCAAUGGGCAUUUUAAUCAUGUUUAUGCUGGACAGGGCUGUCCCUUGGGCUUGAGGACAAUGUUCUUGAACCAGAAGAAUAUGGCAGAAGUAUAAUGCCAUUUCACCAGGACAGAUGCAUCAAAUUCCAUCUUGGGUCUGGUAAUUCUGCCACAGAUGGUGGCCCAUUGAUAUGUGCAUGCUUGGCUGGGGUGAGAGUCUGUGCCAAUGUCACAGGACACAGCAACCCCAAUGAGUCUGUUUACUUAUUUAACAGUCAAGGUGACCAGAAGAGACACUUUCCAACAGGACACAAUGAGGAGGUACCCAGCAAGUCUUCUAGCUGAUUGGGGGAAGAAACCCAGUGUAUUACAGGAAAAUGAGAGAGUGCAUUUGAAUUUGUUUCUAAUCUGAAUUUUCCAUAUAAACUCUAGUUAGCAGUUUCAAAACUGUGGACGCACUUCAGCCUAAGGGACAAAAACAAAACAAAUGACCCAAGGUACCAGCUGCAAGAUGCUGGAAUAGGAGGGAGGGAGGGAAGGCCAGUGAGAGGGCAAGAUUAUUAAUAUGCUUUUCUUACUAAAUUGGCUUUCAGAAUCAAGGGGAAGAACCAAGGUGGGUUGUUAAGGGAGUACUGAUUUAGAUGUGCUGAGCAGUUGAAAUGUUUUUGUUUCUCAAACAUGAAAGCACUUGGCUUUGCAUGACUGGGUUUUAAAUUGCUCAGCAAAGCAUCACUUGGGGCUAACCUGAGUCUGUGAAGUUCCACAAUUCAGGAAUGAUGGUUACUGCAGCACUCUUGUGUUUCAAGGUUCGUCAUGAAGACUAGCAUAGAUUCCACUGUUCAAUUAAAGCAACGUUUACCAUGAUAUUCCUAUUUUCCAUGAUGCAGGGUCCUGGGAAGCAUCUCUUUCAGGAAGGGAGUAUGUAUUCAAGGUCAGUCAGUAUAUGAAUGUGUCUGAGACUUGGAUGGCUCAAGGGGAUAGAGCUAGGUGUUAUCUGGCAGUCGCAAAAGUGAGAGAUGAUGACAAGGCCAAGGUACUCAGUCCAUGAUUUCAGAUUAGGGAGGCACCACCUGGCAAAGGGGGAGCCUGACAAUGCAGGGCAGUUCUAAGUACCAGGCUUGGGACCGAUUCUAUGGAGAUAUGGUAGAUGGGACUACCCUCAACUGAAUAAUGUGUGAAGAGAAUUUAAGACCAUGCCUGAUACAUAGAGGGUCCAGUGAAAGUUGAAGGCAAAUAACCCUGGUAAAGAAGGCAGGAAACACAAGGAAGCCAUUCAUUUAUUUAUUAUUCAUUCAAUCAACAAAUAUUUCUUAAAUAUUUAUACCAACAAAGCAUGGAACCUCUAGCCAAACUCUCUGGUUUCAAAUCCUGGCUGUUUUACAAUAUCUGUAUAACCUUGAGCAAGUUACUUAAUUAUUCUCUGUGCCUCCAUUUCUUCAUUUGUAACAUGGGAAUAAUCAAAAAGAAUAAAUGAAGAUUGUUAUGAAGACUAACACAUGAUUGUUAUUAUUAUCUUUUUGUUCAUUUAUUUAGCUGUGUCCUUAGUCUGUUGCUUGAUUGGUGUGGUGUUGGGGAUGUGGCCAACGGAGACAGGAAAGGUCUCCGUCUUUACCCACCUUAUAUUACAAUAGAAGAGUCAGAUUAUAAAAAAAUAAUAAAUCAAUAAAUAAUACUUUAAGGUAGUGAUGAGUGAUGCAGGAAACAAGAGAAGAUGAUUGUGGAGUGAGUGAUUACUACGGGUGAGGUCCAAUGAUAGAGAGGACUAGUGAAGAGGGAAGACAGUCAGUCUACACAAAGAUCAUCCUGUUGAAAAAUAUGAAAUAUGCAAGUCUUUGGAAUUUACCCAAAA